CAGUAGCCACGGUAAUACGUAGGGCGCGAGCGUUAAUCGGAAUUACUGGGCGUAAAGCGUGCGCAGGCGGUUAUAUAAGACAGAUGUGAAAUCCCCGGGCUCAACCUGGGACCUGCAUUUGUGACUGUAUAGCUAGAGUACGGUAGAGGGGGAUGGAAUUCCGCGUGUAGCAGUGAAAUGCGUAGAUAUGCGGAGGAACACCGAUGGCGAAGGCAAUCCCCUGGACCUGUACUGACGCUCAUGCACGAAAGCGUGGGGAGCAAACAGGAUUAGAUACCCCAGUAGUCCCUGUCUCUUAUAC
rnacentral:rRNA from 1 species